rnacentral:rRNA from 1 species
AUGGUUCAACCUGUGAGAAUUCAAUAUGAUGGUCGAGUUUAUUCAUGCCGAGUCCAUGAUAUGAUUCUUGAUCUUCUUAUAUCCAAGUCAAUUGAAGAAAAUUUUGUUACCUUCUUUGGUGGCCAAAAUCAGAAAUUAGUGCUACAACAUAAGAUUCGUAGACUAUCUCUGUGUUAUUCCCAAGAGCACAUCGCAGUUCCAUCAACAGCGAUCAUUUCUCAUUGCCGGUCGCUCAGUAUAUUUGGGUAUGCUGAACAGAUGCCUCCUCUUUCGAAGUUUAGAGUUCUGCGAGUACUUGAUAUAGAAAAUGGUGAGGACAUGGAAAGCAGUUUUAUUGAACAUGUAAGGACUCUUUGUCAGUUGAAAUAUUUGCGGCUCGAUGUUAGAAGCAUUUCUGCAUUCCCUGAGCAAUUAGGAGAACUACAGCAUUUGCAGACUCUGGAUAUAAGAUGGACAAAGAUACAAAAAUUGCCCAAAAGCAUUGUUCAACUGCAAAAUAUGACAUGUUUGCGUGUCAAUAAUCUUGAAUUACCUGAAGGAAUUGGGAAUCUGCAUGCUCUACAGGAGCUAAGAGAGAUCAAAGUCAAGUGGGACAGUUUGGCAUCUUCUUUGCUGGAACUGGGCAGCCUGACUAAAUUGAGGAUUCUUGGGCUGCGCUGGUGCAUCAUCGAUACACACGGUAACAAAGAAAUUUUUGUGGAGAACUUGGUCUCAUCACUCUGUAAACUGGGUAGACUCAACCUUCGGUCUCUAUGCAUUAAGAGUGACUAUGGUUAUUCCAUUCCUCUAAAAGAAAUGUAUGGUUAUUCCAUAGAUUUCUUGCUGGAUUCUUGGUUCCCAUCCCCUCGUCUCCUCCAGAAAUUUCAGAUGGACGCGUACUAUUUCUUUCCCAGAGUUCCAGUUUGGAUCGCGUCACUUGACAACCUCUCGUACCUAGAUAUCAAUAUUAACCCUGUAGAAGAGGAGGCAUUAGAGAUCCUUGGAGGGUUACCUGCUUUGCUGCUUCUGUGUUUGUCAUCAGAAUCAUCUGCUCAAAAACAAAGACUCGUUAUAAGCAGCAACAUGUUCAUAUGUCUGAAGGAUUUCCGCUUCACCUGCUGGAGCAAUGGCAAAGGACUGAUAUUUGAAGCUGGGGCCAUGCCGAGUCUUGAGAAGCUGGAGGUUCCAUUAGACGCAGGCAAAGAUCUUGAUUUUGGCAUCCAGCACCUCUCUUCCCUUAUGCAUGUUACCGUGAAGAUCAUUUGCGGUGGUGCCACGGUUCGGGAGGUGGAGGCAUCGGAGGAAGCCAUCAGGGGCACAGUUACUCUCCUUCCGAACCACCCCACACUGGAAAUCCGAAUAUGGGGUGAUGAAAAUAUGGUGGAGGAGGACCAAGGGAGGGCUGAAGAGGAGAUCCAGACAAGCACACAACUCAUCUGA